rnacentral:rRNA from 1 species
UGCGUAGGUGGUGCUGUAAGUCAGGUGUGAAAUCUCGGGGCUCAACCCCGAAACUGCACUUGAUACUGCAGUGCUCGAGGACUGGAGAGGAGGUCGGAAUUCAUGGUGUAGCAGUGAAAUGCGUAGAUAUCAUGAGGAAGACCAGUGGCGAAGGCGGAUCUCUGGACAGUUCCUGACACUGAGGCACGAAGGCCAGGGGAGCAAACG